rnacentral:rRNA from 1 species
AUUGAACGCUGGCGGCAUGCUUUACACAUGCAAGUCGAACGGUAACAGGGUGCUUGCACCGCUGACGAGUGGCGAACGGGUGAGUAAUGCAUCGGAACGUACCCAGUCGUGGGGGAUAACGUAGCGAAAGUUACGCUAAUACCGCAUACGUCCUGAGGGAGAAAGCGGGGGACCGUAAGGCCUCGCGCGAUUGGAGCGGCCGAUGUCGGAUUAGCUAGUUGGUAGGGUAAAGGCCUACCAAGGCGACGAUCCGUAGCGGGUCUGAGAGGAUGAUCCGCCACACUGGGACUGAGACACGGCCCAGACUCCUACGGGAGGCAGCAGUGGGGAAUUUUGGACAAUGGGCGAAAGCCUGAUCCAGCCAUGCCGCGUGAGUGAAGAAGGCCUCGGGUGUAAACCGCUUUGUACGGAGCGAAAAGGCUCUCUCUAAUACAGGAGUUCAUGACGGUACCGUAAGAAUAAGCACCGGCUAACUACGUGCCAGCAGCCGCGGUAAU